rnacentral:lncRNA from 1 species
CUGAGUUUUAAUUUGGCAGUAUUGCUAGCAUUCACAGUAUUUAACAGGAAAAUCUGGUGGUCUGGACACUUCAGAUUAAGUGCAUGUUUUGUAGGAUUGUUGAAAUAAUUUAGUUUAAUUUUUAAGACUCUCAACUAAUAUUUGGAUAGAAUAUUAUCUUGUUUCAGAAGUGGCCUUAUGUAAUUCAAUAGGACCAUCACUGGAGCAAGAUGUUCCCAUAGCUGAAGGCUAAUCACACAAUUAUCAGUUCCUUCCUCUAAAAUAAGGAUCUAAUUAUGUAUUUCCUUUAUUUGAACAGUCUUGUUUACAGGCCUCAGCUCCUGAUUUUUAUCAUGCAAAAGGGAAAGAAGUUGGAAUUUUAUGAGGGACUGAGGACAUUUCUUUCGGACUUUACAUCUGGCUUAUGCAGAGAUCUUGAACACUUUACAUCUGUCAUCAUGUCGUGAUGUGUGUCCAUUGACUCAGAGCAAGCCUGAUCUCUGAAGCAAGAUUGAAGUCUGUUACGCUUGUCAUCGAGGAGGAACUAUUUUCUGUCUUGGCACUCCUCUCAUUCUGCAAUGGAUUUUGGUUGCACGCCAGUCCAAAGCCAUGUGUUGUAGUUGAUGUGUGACAUCUCCCCAUCAGUCAG